AUGAUGAACUACACGGUAGAGUUCAGCCGAGGAAGAAUCAGUGGAGAUCCUUGUUUUCAAGUAGCAGGGAUAGAGGGACAGAAAAGAUAUAUUUGUCGCGGCGCUGCAAGUGUUGCCCCCCUCCUCCCCAAGGGCAAGGUGAAGGAAGGUGCCUGUGUGGUUCUUCUGCAGUUCGCAGCGAGGAUUGCUGUGUCCAACCUGCACAAGAAUGCCAAGAAGUCCUUCUCGGAGACGAUUAAGGACAUGUACCUGCACUACAACGAGAGAUCUGGGCUGCUUCUUUGUGGCUUCCAAACUUGA
rnacentral:rRNA from 1 species